rnacentral:rRNA from 1 species
GGGUAGGGGAGCGUUCUGUAAGCCUGCGAAGGUGUGCUGUGAGGCAUGCUGGAGGUAUCAGAAGUGCGAAUGCUGACAUAAGUAACGAUAAAGCGGGUGAAAAGCCCGCUCGCCGGAAGACCAAGGGUUCCUGUCCAACGUUAAUCGGGGCAGGGUGAGUCGACCCCUAAGGCGAGGCCGAAAGGCGUAGUCGAUGGGAAACAGGUUAAUAUUCCUGUACUUGGUGUUACUGCGAAGGGGGGACGGAGAAGGCUAUGUUGGCCGGGCGACGGUUGUCCCGGUUUAAGCGUGUAGGCUGGUUUUCCAGGCAAAUCCGGAAAAUCAAGGCUGAGGCGUGAUGACGAGGCACUACGGUGCUGAAGCAACAAAUGCCCUGCUUCCAGGAAAAGCCUCUAAGCAUCAGGUAACAUCAAAUCGUACCCCAAACCGACACAGGUGGUCAGGUAGAGAAUACCAAGGCGCUUGAGAGAACUCGGGUGAAGGAACUAGGCAAAAUGGUGCCGUAACUUCGGGAGAAGGCACGCUGAUAUGUAGGUGAAGUCCCUCGCGGAUGGAGCUGAAAUCAGUCGAAGAUACCAGCUGGCUGCAACUGUUUAUUAAAAACACAGCACUGUGCAAACACGAAAGUGGACGUAUACGGUGUGACGCCUGCCCGGUGCCGGAAGGUUAAUUGAUGGGGUCAGCGCAAGCGAAGCUCUUGAU